AUCCAGCUAACGAGUCCCAAAUAGGACAAAGCGCGCAUCCUGGAU
rnacentral:hammerhead_ribozyme from 1 species